AGCUUAGUUGGUAAAGCACUCGUCUAGCAUACAAGAGUCCUGGGUUCUAAUCCCAG
rnacentral:tRNA from 1 species